UUUUUAGUGAUUUAGAUGUUUUUUCAUUAAUAAAAAGUUUUUUUGUUUAUCAUACCAUUUUUUUUAAUUAAAAUUGUAUGUCCUUUUUGGUAAUUUAUUAAUAUUAAAAGUGUUUUUAUGUUUAUACAAUAUAUUAUCAAAAACACUUUAGAAUCAUUUUUUCUGAUUAUCAUAAAAGUGUUUUUCACAGAAACACUAUAGCAGAAAACACUUCAAAUAAAAACACUUUCACUAGAAUCACUAUCAAACGGGCUCGUAGUAGUUGAAAAUGAAGGAGGGGAAGGAGCAGAUGAGAUUGUUUUCUGCAAAUUACAACACAUGGUACUUCUGUGUUUGCCAAACCUCACAAGCUUCAGUUCAGGUGGUUCUAUAUUCUCAUUCCCAUCCUUGGAGCAUAUGGUGGUGGAAGAAUGCCCCAAGAUGAAAAUUUUCUCUUCAGGCCCCAUAACUACACCAAGGCUAGAAAGAGUAGAAGUGGCAGAUGAUGAGUGGCACUGGCAGGAUGAUCUAAAUACCACCAUCCAUAAUUUGUUUAUAAGGACGCAUGGUAACGUUGAAGUUGAAGUUGAGAUUCUGGAAUUGGGAGCUGGUUCAGCAUUAUGAUCACACCUUGUUUAGUUCUUGGGAUGUCACUGUGCUCUUAAAGCUUGCCUUAUGGCAUUGAGUGGCUGGAUUUCUAACCAUAUUAAUGCAGUAUGUAUCACUCUAUCUCAGGCUAUUUGUUUAUAUUUGAAGUUCAUGUAGACUUGUUGGAUGGUAUGAAAUUUAGACAUCCUACAUUGUUCAU